rnacentral:rRNA from 1 species
AGAGUUUGAUCCUGGCUCAGGAUGAACGCUGGCGGCGUGCCUAAUACAUGCAAGUCGAGCGAACGGACGAGAAGCUUGCUUCUCUGAUGUUAGCGGCGGACGGGUGAGUAACACGUGGAUAACCUACCUAUAAGACUGGGAUAACUUCGGGAAACCGGAGCUAAUACCGGAUAAUUUUUGAACCGCAUGGUUCAAAAGUGAAAGACGGUCUUGCUGUCACUUAUAGAUGGAUCCGCGCUGCAUUAGCUAGUUGGUAAGGUAACGGCUUACCAAGGCAACGAUGCAUAGCCGACCUGAGAGGGUGAUCGGCCACACUGGAACUGAGACACGGUCCAGACUCCUACGGGAGGCAGCAGUAGGGAAUCUUCCGCAAUGGGCAAAAGCCUGACGGAGCAACGCCGCGUGAGUGAUGAAGGUCUUCGGAUCGUAAAACUCUGUUAUUAGGGAAGAACAUAUGUGUAAGUAACUGUGCACAUCUUGACGGUACCUAAUCAGAAAGCCACGGCUAACUACGUGCCAGCAGCCGCGGUAAUACGUAGGUGGCAAGCGUUAUCCGGAAUUAUUGGGCGUAAAGCGCGCGUAGGCGGUUUUUUAAGUCUGAUGUGAAAGCCCACGGCUCAACCGUGGAGGGUCAUUGGAAACUGGAAAACUUGAGUGCAGAAGAGGAAAGUGGAAUUCCAUGUGUAGCGGUGAAAUGCGCAGAGAUAUGGAGGAACACCAGUGGCGAAGGCGACUUUCUGGUCUGUAACUGACGCUGAUGUGCGAAAGCGUGGGGAUCAAACAGGAUUAGAUACCCUGGUAGUCUACGCCGUAAACGAUGAGUGCUAAGUGUUAGGGGGUUUCCGCCCCUUAGUGCUGCAGCUAACGCAUUAAGCACUCCGCCUGGGGAGUACGACCGCAAGGUUGAAACUCAAAGGAAUUGACGGGGACCCGCACAAGCGGUGGAGCAUGUGGUUUAAUUCGAAGCAACGCGAAGAACCUUACCAAAUCUUGACAUCCUUUGACAACUCUAGAGAUAGAGCUUUCCCCUUCGGGGGACAAAGUGACAGGUGGUGCAUGGUUGUCGUCAGCUCGUGUCGUGAGAUGUUGGGUUAAGUCCCGCAACGAGCGCAACCCUUAAGCUUAGUUGCCAUCAUUAAGUUGGGCACUCUAAGUUGACUGCCGGUGACAAACCGGAGGAAGGUGGGGAUGACGUCAAAUCAUCAUGCCCCUUAUGAUUUGGGCUACACACGUGCUACAAUGGACAAUACAAAGGGCAGCGAAACCGCGAGGUCAAGCAAAUCCCAUAAAGUUGUUCUCAGUUCGGAUUGUAGUCUGCAACUCGACUACAUGAAGCUGGAAUCGCUAGUAAUCGUAGAUCAGCAUGCUACGGUGAAUACGUUCCCGGGUCUUGUACACACCGCCCGUCACACCACGAGAGUUUGUAACACCCGAAGCCGGUGGAGUAACCUUUUAGGAGCUAGCCGUCGAAGGUGGGACAAAUGAUUGGGGUGAAGUCGUAACAAGGUAGCCGUAUCGGAAGGUGCGGCUG